CCCCCGCUUCCCUCUCCUCUUCCUCUCCCCCUGGCGCCGCCCGCACCCGCGCCUCCCUCUCCUCCUCUCGCCCCUAGCGCCGCCACCACUGCCUACUUGCCCGCCGCCGCCCGACCUCCUCCCCUCACGUUCCCCUCCUUCCACCCCUCCGAUAUGGCGCCGCCCAAACCCUAAAGCCCCGCCCCGGCCCCGGCUCCCACGGGAGGGAAGGAGGAAUUGCGAGGCGAGGCAAAGGCGGCGGCGUAUUUCACGCGGCGCGGGCGGCGUGUCCCAGGGGGUCGGCGCGGCCGCGGCUUCUCGUCGUCUCCGCCAUCUCCUCGGCGCCUCGAUGCCCAGCCGGCCGCCGCCGCACAUCAUGAGGUGGAAUGCGACCCAUUCCCCCGCAGUCCCCUCGGCCCAGGCUACCCCUAGCGCCACAGUCGCCAUGCCCCUGCCGUCUCCUCGAUAGGAGGAAGAGCGAGGCCACAAACGGAUCUGGAGAUUGAAUCGGGCUCCAAUGGCUCCUGCGUGGCAUGAUGCAUGUUAAGGUGAUCUUUUUGUACAUCUGUUUUUCCUCUGUCCUAGGUUCUCCAUGCUUCCAGAUUUUGAUUUUGCCUUCAAUUUUGACGCAGGGUGGUUGCUAUCUCAGAUAUCUCCUCGUAUUUUCAAUUGUAUGAUAUACAUCUCAUAAAUGGAUGGAGCCACUCUUAGCUGCAGCGCUUGGCUCCCCUCCUCGACAGUCAACAACCAAUAGAUGAAGCAUCGACCGCAGAGACGGAAGAGGACACUGAGCUCAUGCAUCAUUCUUUCUGUAUCAUUCGCAGGCUUCGGAAGAUGCCAGUAUAAGUAUUGGAAAAGGAACUAAUUCUUGCACGGAUAUUGAAAAUGCUAGAGCUGCUGCACAAAGUGUUCAGAAGGUGCUUAAAGAGAAGGAAAAUAAUUCACAAAGCAUUGGGAAGCAGAUUGGAUUAUACAUGUUUGAUUCUCUGCUUUCAACUCUACGGGUGUUGUGGUGACCGCGACGGCGGCGGGUCUGCACGUGUUCGUGGUGCCGAGGGGGGGGGGAGCCACUGCCGCCGCCGCCACCUCUACGUGGUACCUCUUCGACAAUGAGGCGGCACCGGUCACGUCCUGGGCCACCCUGCCCAACAGGGUGCUGUUGUGCUGCCCGCUGCAGCUGGACGUCGGGAGGUGCGCCUGUGUCGUCGUCUGGGAGAAGGCCACUGGUGCAAGAGGGGUGGCGCUCUAUACCAACCAAAAUUUGGCUCGGACAGAUGAUGAGUCCUGGAAGGAGUGGGAAGCUGUUGUUUUAUCGAUUGGUGCUAUAGCAAAGGGAUGCAUCACUGGGUUAUAUCCCCACCUUCCGCAGAUAGGAAGAUCUGUCAAUCUGUCGUGACUUCUUACUUCAAAUUUUAGGAACAUGAGCACUUAAGUUGUGCCUUUUGAAUCAGUCAAUCAUAAGGGUGCUCAAGGGGUUCGGCCAAGUCGGAUGCCAGGCGGUGCGCGCAGCUGAGGAGCACUGGCAGCAGGCGCUUGAUGCGGCGCUCCCCGCGUCGCCGCCGCUCAUUCGCGGCUCCUCCUCCUCCCCAACGGAUCGCGGCUGAACCUUCCUUGUGCCAGCACCUCGUGGCCAUGAAGGGUGGCUGAGCCAUCAGGAGCGGCGGCGGCGGCCUGCUGCGGACGCUGGUGCGGCUCCC